GGACUACAAGGGUUUCUAAUCCCGUUCGCUCCCCUGGCUUUCGCGUCUCAGCGUCAGGCGGGGUCCAGGCGCCCGCUUUCGCCACGGGCGUUCCUUCCGAUCUCAACGCAUUUCACCGCUCCACCGGAAGUUCCGGCGCCCCCUACCCCCCUCCAGGCCGGUCGUAUCGGCGCCCGUUCCGCGGUUGAGCCGCGGGAUUUCAGCGACCGACGUGCCGGCCCGCCUACACGCGCUUUAAGCCCAGUGAUUCCGAAUAACGUUCGCACGGUUCGUCUUACCGCGGCUGCUGGCAC
rnacentral:rRNA from 1 species